AACGAACGCUGGCGGCAGGCUUAACACAUGCAGGUCGAGCGCCCCGCAAGGGGAGCGGCAGACGGGUGAGUAACGCGUGGGAAUCUACCCAUCUCUACGGAAUAACGCAUGGAAACGGGUGCUAAUACCGUAUACGUCCUUCGGGAGAAAGAUUUAUCGGAGAUGGAUGAGCCCGCGUUGGAUUAGCUAGUUGGUGGGGUAAAGGCCUACCAAGGCGACGAUCCAUAGCUGGUCUGAGAGGAUGAUCAGCCACACUGGGACUGAGACACGGCCCAGACUCCUACGGGAGGCAGCAGUGGGGAAUAUUGGACAAUGGGCGCAAGCCUGAUCCAGCCAUGCCGCGUGAGUGAUGAAGGCCCUAGGGUUGUAAAGCUCUUUCACCGGUGAAGAUAAUGACGGUAACCGGAGAAGAAGCCCCGGCUAACUUCGUGCCAGCCGCCGCCGUAAGAC
rnacentral:rRNA from 1 species